GGAGUUAGCCGGUGCUUCUUCUGUGAGUGAUGUCCUUCCUGCCGGCUAUUAACCCGCAGGCCUUCUUCCUCACUGAAAGUGCUUUACAACCCGAAGGCCUUCUUCACACACGCGGCAUGGCUGGAUCAGGGUUGCCCCCAUUGUCCAAUAUUCCCCACUGCUGCCUCCCGUAGGAGUCUGGGCCGUGUCUCAGUCCCAGUGUGGCUGAUCAUCCUCUCAGACCAGCUACGGAUCGUCGCCUUGGUGAGCCGUUACCUCACCAACCAGCUAAUCCGACAUAGGCUCAUUCGAUAGCGCGAGGCCCGAAGGUCCCCCGCUUUCCCCCGUAGGGCGUAUGCGGUAUUAGCCUGGGUUUCCCCAGGUUAUCCCCCACUACCGGGCAGAUUCCUAUGCAUUACUCACCCGUCCGCCGCUCGCCACCAGGGAGCAAGCUCCCCGUGCUGCCGCUCGACUUGCAUGUGUUAGGCCUGCCGCCAGCGUUCAAUCUGAGCCAGAAUCAAACUCUGA
rnacentral:rRNA from 1 species